rnacentral:misc_RNA from 1 species
UAAUAAGUGUUUUAUGGCACUUUUUAAAUCCAUAUCCACCUUGUGUGCAAUGUCGGUCGAUCUUCUUCAUGGAGAUCGACCAAACAUCAACCUUUAUCUUUUAACUCUUUGUCUGAAAACUAUUAUGAAUAAACUAAUUCAAAAUA